UACGAAGGGGGCUAGCGUUGUUCGGAAUCACUGGGCGUAAAGCGCACGCAGGCGGAUUGAUAAGUCAGGGGGUGAAAUCCCGGAGCUCAACUUCGGAAUUGCCUUUGAUACUGUUAAUCUCGAGUCCGGGAGAGGUGAGUGGAAUUCCUAGUGUAGAGGUGAAAUUCGUAGAUAUUAGGAAGAACACCAGUGGCGAAGGCGGCUCACUGGCCCGGUACUGACGCUCAUGUGCGAAAGCGUGGGGAGCAAACAGG
rnacentral:rRNA from 1 species